UAGGGAAUCUUCCACAAUGGGCGCAAGCCUGAUGGAGCGACACCGCGUGAGUGAAGAAGGGUUUCGGCUCGUAAAGCUCUGUUGUUGAAGAAGAACGUACCUGAGAGGAAAUGUUCAGGUAGUGACGGUAUUCAACCAGAAAGUCACGGCUAACUACGUGCCAGCAGCCGCGGUAAUACGUAGGUGGCAAGCGUUAUCCGGAUUUAUUGGGCGUAAAGCGAGCGCAGGCGGUUUGUUAAGUCUGAUGUGAAAGCCUUCGGCUCAACCGAAGAAGUGCAUCGGAAACUGGCUAACUUGAGUGCAGAAGAGGGCAGUGGAACUCCAUGUGUAGCGGUGGAAUGCGUAGAUAUAUGGAAGAACACCAGUGGCGAAGGCGGCUGCCUAGUCUGCAACUGACGCU
rnacentral:rRNA from 1 species